CUGCGUGAUAUAUGGGAUUGG
rnacentral:siRNA from 1 species